UGCUAACUUUAUAUUUUAGCAAUUUUGGAGAAUUGCACAAAGACCCCUGGUGCAUAUCUCCCUCCUCCCUCUCUUCUUCUCCCUGCUGCACACCUCUCCUCCACCCCUCUCCACCAUUCCCAGCCACCAUCUUUGCCAACCAGCCACCAAGCUUCCCACCCUCUUCUUUUCCUCGCCGGCGUCGUUCCUCCCUCCUUCCUCUCACCGGUUUUUUUGCUGCAGUAAGGAGGAGAAGGCAUCUUUUUUGCUGCCACCACCAGAACAACCACUUGCUGCCGUCUUUUUGCCUAUUUGAUGCUGGAUUUGGGAUCCACACCCUCCAAAGCCUAUAGGCAGCUCCUCCUCGCUGUUGAUCAGCCGUUUUCCAGCUCCUCUAAGCCUUUCCGGAGCUGAAACUUUCCAGCCUCAAUCUGAUGGCUUCCGACGAGUUUCCAGCAGAAUCGUCUGCAUAUUUGGACUCCUGCAACUCAAGCUUUGUGUGGACCCUUCCAGAUUCGAAAUCUGACACUAUUGGUGGUAUCGGCUUUCGGACUCUAGUGUUUCCCGGAUGCGCAUAAGCUCGGGUUUCAGCUUGAUAUAAUUUUAUCUAGACUUUAAAAAUUAUUUCAAAAUUAUUAGAACAUAAUUGGUAUAUAAGUUGUUUGUUAAAUUAUUUAAUUAAUUAGUCGCCCGAUUUUAGAAUUAUUGCUGAUUAAUUAAAGAAGGAGUUAGUAUUCUGCCAUGUACAUUGAGGCUGUGAUUAAUUGAAUUAAAUGUGAGGAGAAAUAUUUGUGUGAUGUAUCGUGAAUAAUAUUAUUUUGCUGGACUGUUAAUUUUUAUAUUGUGAAUUGGAUUUUAUUGCAGAGUCGGGAAAAUAAUGCAGUUUUAAUGGCCUGACUUCCGUUAAAUAAAUAUAAAAUAUUUGGAGUAUUUCUAGCAGAUUCUGGACCUGUUAUAUGGGGGUAAACGUCCAUAUUUUAGGGGAGAUUCUGCCGAAUUUUCGGGAGAAUUUUCGAGCAGGAAUUUCUUAGGUAGUUUAAUCUAAGAGUCUAGGCCUAGAAAAAAUAAAGAAUAUCUUAUUAAUUGAGUUAUUUUCUUGAAUAGAUAAUCCGUCCGUCCAGCCAGCUCCACCCGAGGCGUAGGAGCAAACUGCGGAACGCGGUAGAACUAUGAGUUAAAAUCAUAUAAUUAACUGUUUUUAUGUUAUGUCUAAAUUAAAUGCAAUGUUAAUUGAUUAAUAAUUAUUAUGAUCAUUAUUAGUAUUAUUAUUAGUAAUUUUAUUUGAUUAAUGAUUAUUACGAUUAUUAUUAGCAUCAUUAUUAUUAAUUUUAUUUUUUGUUAUUAUCGAUAUCAUUAUUAUUAUUAUUAUUAUUUUUGGUAUCAUAUUUAUUAUUAUUUUAUUAUUAUUAUCAUUACACAUAAUUUUCAUGUUUGCUAUACUCGAGGCUAUUCAACUUUAAUUCUUAAUAUGUUAUUAAAUAAUUAUGUUUACUUGUGAUUUAUGCUAUUUAUAAUUAUUAUCGAUGUAAUGAUUGUAAGUUCGGAAUAAGGCGAUAGUAGAACAUGCCGCCUGAUGAAAUGCAUUAGGAUCGCGUGCGAAGAAUUUUUUUAGGAUUUACCCUGGUCGAGUACAACUCUCUGGGUUAUGAGAAUGUGAUCGCCGAAGGGAAGGUCCCAGGUCAAAUGUUGCUCUCUAGUUGCCGACUUUAUUGAAAAUUAAGUGAUCAGACUAGAUUUAAGGACCCUGGUCGAACUUUGUUCUCUAGGCGCCAGUCUUAUUAGAAUAAGAAAGCCAAAUAGCUAAUAGGAUUGGAGUUUAGAAUUCUGUUGAGGUACUCGUCCCAUACACAUUUAAAUUAUAUUUUUUUAAAUCAUAAAAUGACACACGUUUUAAUAUGAUAAAAUAUUUUAUUCUGAUUAAAUAAAUAUUUUAUUAAGAUGGUUGGAUUUAUUUUUAAAUAUAUGAUUUUAACUCACUUCCGAUACUGACAGUCUCAAUUCUAAAUUUUUCAGGUGAUAGCUAGGUUCUCCGCCGACAUCUUUUGCAGCCCGACUUCCUUUCUCCCUUUGGGUUUAUUGUAAUUAAAUCUUACUUUUGUGUUUUAAAUUAUUUGAAACUCUAGACUCUAUGCAGUAGCGUACUUGGUAUUUUAUAUUUAAAUUUAGUCUGUAAAAAAAUUAUGGGAUAUUUGCUAGUAAUCCAGCUGGAGGAUUAAUUUAAUUAUGUGUAGAAUGUGAGUGAAAUAUUGGAUUAUUUUAAUAGUAUAUAAUUAUGUAUGCAUUUAAUUG
rnacentral:lncRNA from 1 species